AACAAGGCGUACCUGCGGACCUGCGGAAGGAUCAUUACCGAGUUUACAACUCCCAAACCCCUGUGAACAUACCAAUUGUUGCCUCGGCGGAUCAGCCCGCUCCCGGUAAAACGGGACGGCCCGCCAGAGGACCCCUAAACUCUGUUUCUAUAUGUAACUUCUGAGUAAAACCAUAAAUAAAUCAAAACUUUCAGCAAUGGAUCU
rnacentral:misc_RNA from 1 species